UAUUGAGCGUUGAAUAUUGGCCAGUGUUAGAUCUGGAAUUUAUCUGAAACUUUCAGACUGAAAAUUAUUCUGCCGUCAUUGACUUAUCUUAUCAAUUGAAAUGGUAUGAAGAUUGGUGUGAAAUAAGUUAGAUGUACCGAUAAUCAAGGUGGGUUAGUCAGUGGUUGAAUUUCGACAAAGCAAUUAGAACGUCCUUAAAAUUUUCAAACAACUUCGAAAUAAUUGAACUUCAACGAUUAACUUUGAACUGAGUAAUUAAAGUGAUGGCAUUGAAAAAUAAGGAAAACGUUGUUAACAUGGAAUCACAUCCACCGACUCUGACGCCUCAGCACAAUGAAAUUGCUAAUGAACCUCCACCACCCUAUAGUAUUUCUAUUGAUUCGAGCGAAAACCUUAAACCUUAUCCAGUUUCCAACAUCGAAUCCAACUCCAAUUCUAAUGAUGAAGUAUUGGCUGUUGUGGUAGAAAGAAAGUCCUAUAUAAGAAAGUCGAAUAAAAGCACUGCUGCAGCGAUAUUUGUCAUUUGUAUGCUAAUAGUUUUAGCAAUUAGGUUAUUUCGACUCGCAACCUAUAAUAAAUAAUAUUGAUUUUAAAAAAUGACAAAAAUGAUUAUUACAAUAGACAGAUAUCCAAUAUCGAUACGAAGUCGGAAUGAAACAGCUCUUCCAAUUUAUACCGUACCCACACGACCAGAAACAAGAAGUUAUUCUGAUGUACCUGCUCCGUCACCCAUAAAAUUAUUGACAAAAAAAGAUAAAUUCAAAAUGUUGUUACUAUUAUUAGCAAUUUUGAUGCCUAUCACACAUAAGUGCCUUAUCCAAUAUCGCCAAAACAAUUGACCUUAAAAUUUAGAACUAAUGAUUUAUAGCGUUUCAACAUCAACUUUCUAAUUUACUUGCAAAAUCAAUUUCUUAUACCUAAAACGUACGAAAACGUGAACUAAUUCCAU